UACGUAGGGGGCAAGCGUUGUUCGGAAUUACUGGGCGUAAAGGGUUCGUAGGUGGCUUGCUAAGUCAGACGUGAAAUCCCUCAGCUUAACUGGGGAACUGCGUCUGAUACUGGCGAGCUUGAGUGCAGGAGAGGAACGCGGAAUUCCAGGUGUAGCGGUGAAAUGCGUAGAUAUCUGGAGGAACACCGGUGGCGAAGGCGGCGUUCUGGACUGCAACUGACACUGAGGAACGAAAGCCAGGGGAGCAAACGGG
rnacentral:rRNA from 1 species